GAUGAGCGCUGGCGGCGUGCCUAAUACAUGCAAGUCGAGCGAACUGAUUAGAAGCUUGCUUCUAUGACGUUAGCGGCGGACGGGUGAGUAACACGUGGGCAACCUGCCUGUAAGACUGGGAUAACUUCGGGAAACCGAAGCUAAUACCGGAUAGGAUCUUCUCCUUCAUGGGAGAUGAUUGAAAGAUGGUUUCAGCUAUCACUUACAGAUGUGCCCGCGGUGCAUUAGCUAGUUGGUGAGGUAACGGCUCAACAAGGCAACGAUGCAUAGCCGACCUGAGAGGGUGAUCGGCAACGCAGGGACUGAGAAAGGGCACAAGCUCGUACGGGAGGAAGCAGUGGGGAAUCUGCCGCAAUGGGCAAAAGUCUGACGGAGCAAGGCCGCGAGAGUGAUGAAGGCUUUCGGGUCGUAAAACUAUGUUGUUAGGGAAGAACAAGUACAAGAGUAACUGCUUGUACCUUGACGGUACCUAACCAGAAAGCCACGGCUAACUACGUGCCAGCCGCCGCAGUAAAAC
rnacentral:rRNA from 1 species